rnacentral:rRNA from 1 species
GGGCCUGGCGGGUGCUACACAUGCAAGUCGAACGAUGAACCGCUUUCGGGCGGGGAUUAGUGGCGAACGGGUGAGUAACACGUGGGCAAUCUGCCCUGCACUCUGGGACAAGCCCUGGAAACGGGGUCUAAUACCGGAUAUGACUGUCCGCCGCAUGGUGGAUGGUGUAAAGCUCCGGCGGUGCAGGAUGAGCCCGCGGCCUAUCAGCUUGUUGGUGAGGUAGUGGCUCACCAAGGCGACGACGGGUAGCCGGCCUGAGAGGGCGACCGGCCACACUGGGACUGAGACACGGCCCAGACUCCUACGGGAGGCAGCAGUGGGGAAUAUUGCACAAUGGGCGAAAGCCUGAUGCAGCGACGCCGCGUGAGGGAUGACGGCCUUCGGGUUGUAAACCUCUUUCAGCAGGGAAGAAGCGAGAGUGACGGUACCUGCAGAAGAAGCGCCGGCUAACUACGUGCCAGCAGCCGCGGUAAUACGUAGGGCGCAAGCGUUGUCCGGAAUUAUUGGGCGUAAAGAGCUCGUAGGCGGCUUGUCACGUCGGUUGUGAAAGCCCGGGGCUUAACCCCGGGUCUGCAGUCGAUACGGGCAGGCUAGAGUUCGGUAGGGGAGAUCGGAAUUCCUGGUGUAGCGGUGAAAUGCGCAGAUAUCAGGAGGAACACCGGUGGCGAAGGCGGAUCUCUGGGCCGAUACUGACGCUGAGGAGCGAAAGCGUGGGGAGCGAACAGGAUUAGAUACCCUGGUAGUCCACGCCGUAAACGGUGGGCACUAGGUGUGGGCAACAUUCCACGUUGUCCGUGCCGCAGCUAACGCAUUAAGUGCCCCGCCUGGGGAGUACGGCCGCAAGGCUAAAACUCAAAGGAAUUGAC